rnacentral:rRNA from 1 species
UACGUAGGGACCAAGCGUUGUUCGGAUUUACUGGGCGUAAAGGGCGCGUAGGCGGCUUAACAAGUCACUUGUGAAAUCUCCGGGCUUAACUCGGAACGGCCAAGUGAAACUGUCAAGCUAGAGUGCAGAAGGGGCAAUCGGAAUUCUUGGUGUAGCGGUGAAAUGCGUAGAUAUCAAGAGGAACACCUGAGGUGAAGACGGGUUGCUGGGCUGACACUGACGCUGAGAGACGAAGGCUAGGGGAGCAAAUGGG